CCCAUUGUGAGGACAUCACAAAGUGCAGGAAACCCUUGUAUUUAGAGGGAUUCUGUCAAAUGGAGACUCCAUAGGAUAACUAUUAGGGUAGCUGAAGAUGAUGUAUAUCACUCAACAUCUCUACAUCUUGAGAAAAAUAAAUUAGGAAAACUCAUCUGCUCAAUUCCCUUCCACUGCCAUCCAGACGGUGUUCGGAUCCCUGCUGAACUCUACCUUCUGGUCCCUAUUUCUACAUUUACUGGCUUCAGAGGUGACAUGUCAAGUUGGGGACUUAUAAGUGAUUAGCAAAAAACUGGCACACUGGCAACGUCAUUAUUCCGGGGCCGGGCGCGAAGCGUGGAGAAGAGGCCCACACGGUGGAGAUGGACAGCCCGGAACAACUAUCCCUCCCCACCGGACGGUCCUGCAGCACAGACGGCCUGGACCAGCUCACCCGAACGUCCCGCCGAGCGGAGUUCACAGGUGCUGAGUGCACUUAGAACGCUGGAAUCUGGUGUGGUCCCAUUCCCAAGCCAUGAAGGUGGAAUGAAAUCCGGAAAACCUAGAACUGAUUGUGACUUGUCAUAGUAUAGAGAGCCCUGUGAAGGGUUAAGCACUCAGUGCUCAUUGUGGCUGCAGACUGCUCUCUAUUGCUUUCUUUUAUUAUAUGCUUUAUCUGCCUUGAGGUCUUAUGAUCUAGUCUCAGGGGGAUGGAGAGAGAGACACGGCAUUGCAGGGCUUUCCACCUUUUCUUUUGUCUGCUUCCUGCUUUACGAAGAAAAAAAAGACCCUAUCAUUUCCUAGCAGACAGGCAGACGGGUUAGAAAAAAAAUACUCUCAGUUCUGCUAAAGGCAAGUUCUCUUCCAGAUGAGAGGGAGGAGGAGAAUGGGAGGGACCAGAGGUGAUCCCCUUCUUUUCCUCUCUGUCUUGCACUCCCGAUACCACACACGUAUAAAUAAAAUAUGUGAAAUGACCCUCUAUCGGGAACGACUUACCCUUUGGACAUGCAUCAUAAAAUUGCCUUUACAAAGUAAUUGGUGUUAUUUUUUUUCUUACACACACCAUUUAUCCUAACCCAAACCAUUGAUCAGUAAUGUUUUUUAUGGAAAACCCCUUGCCAAUGAAGUAGGUAUAAUUCUGUUUUUC